rnacentral:rRNA from 1 species
UACGUAGGGAGCGAGCGUUGUCCGGAUUUAUUGGGCGUAAAGAGCUUGUAGGCGGUUCAGCAAGUCGGGUGUGAAAACUCUGGGCUCAACCCAGAGACGCCACCCGAUACUGCUGUGACUUGAGUCUGGUAGGGGAUCGCGGAAUUCCAGGUGUAGCGGUGAAAUGCACAGAUAUCUGGAGGAACACCAGCAGCGAAGGCGGCGAUCUGGGCCAGUACUGACGCUGAGAAGCGAAAGCGUGGGGAGCGAACAGG